GACGAACGCUGGCGGCGUGCUUAACACAUGCAAGUCGAACGGAAAGGCCCUGCUUUUGUGGGGUGCUCGAGUGGCGAACGGGUGAGUAACACGUGAGUAACCUGCCCUUGACUUUGGGAUAACUUCAGGAAACUGGGGCUGAUACCGGAUAGGAGCUCCUGCUGCAUGGUGGGGGUUGGAAAGUUUCGGCGGUUGGGGAUGGACUCGCGGCUUAUCAGCUUGUUGGUGGGGUAGUGGCUUACCAAGGCUUUGACGGGUAGCCGGCCUGAGAGGGUGACCGGCCACAUUGGGACUGAGAUACGGCCCAGACUCCUACGGGAGGCAGCAGUGGGAAAUAUUGCACAAUGGGCGGAAGCCUGAUGCAGCAACGCCGCGUGCGGGAUGACGGCCUUCGGGUUGUAAACCGCUUUCGCCUGUGACGAAGCGUGAGUGACGGUAAUGGGUAAAGAAGCACCGGCUAACUACGUG
rnacentral:rRNA from 1 species